AGGCAAAUAUCUCCAAAAAAACAAAAGAAAAUGUAAACCAUUAGAGAUAAGCUAGUCACAAAUCCCUCAGUUGGGAUAAAACUGGGAUUAGAGAAUAUAACUGGCAUACCUCGGGUCACAGAGUAACCCAGUUUCUAACUCCUAACCUCCUUUGUUUUUUUUGUUUGUUUUAUAUUUUUUUUUUGUAUAUUAUUUUAUUGGAGUUCGAUUUGCCGACAUAUAGCAUAACACCCAGUGCUCAUCCCACCAAAUGCCCUCCUCAGUGUCCAUUACCCAGUCACUCCAUCCCCCCGCCCACCUCCUCUUCCUCUACUGCUUGUUUCCCAGAGUUAGGAGUCUCAUGUUUUGUCACCCUCUCUGAUUUUUUUCCCACUCAUUUUCUCUUCUUUCCCCUAUAAUCCCUUUCACUAUUUCUUAUAUUCCCUGAAUGAAUGAAACCAUUUAAUGUUUGUCUUUCUCCGAUUUACUUACUUCACUCAGCAUAAUACCCUCCAGUUCUAUCCACAUUGAAGCAAAUGGUGGGUAUUCGUCAUUUCUAAUGGCUGAGUAAUAUUCCAAUGUAUACACAGACCACAUCUUCCUAACCUCCUUUGAAAGGAGGGAGUGGAGAACACCAAAGAGCUGCCUGCUCUAACAAUAGACAUCCUCCCUUGAGAAAACAAGAGAUGCUAGGGCUUGAGAGAUGAGUUAACCCAGAAACUACACAGGAAAACUGGUUCAUAUACUGGAGAAAGUAAAGAAAUAUGCCAAAACCAAUGAAUAUGGGUUGAGGAAAGGUGGGUAUUCAAGUCAUAGAGUCAAUACAAAGAUUUGGAAUCUAGGCUAUGGAAACCAGUCAGGACAUAGCAUCAAACUGGACCAAUGGGUUGCCUCCAACACUGAGUCUUUCUUUUUUGAGUUUAUUUAGUGGCUCAAUUUGUUAUAAUAUAUCUGUCUAUCUAUCUAUAUAUCAUGUAUAUUAUACACAUAUCACAGAUAUAUAUAUCUCAUAGGAGUAGAGUGGUAGCUAACAGUAGAUUUCUGGCUAGGAUAUAAGAACAGCAUGUUGAAUUUUAGUUUAAGAAUCCUUGCACUACUCUAUCAUAUGCCAAACACCAGUCAGUAAUAAGAAUUUGUCAUGCUUACCUAAGUAGUGAUGCAAAAGCAGAUAUAAAAGAUGAUAAACCCCUGGGUAGAAGGAGUGAAAAUCCUUCAACAGGAGCAAAAAGGAACCUCUAAGAGCUAUAUUUUCUUAUAUUCCUAUAACCUAGAAAUAUUAUUGUCAUGUGAUUGGGACUGAGUCAUAGAUAAUCUUUCAGUCUAUUACUUGGAGAAAUCCAAAAUGAGAGUGACUUUCCGGGGAACCCAAAAGAGGUGAAAAAAAUCUAAAGACUUGGGCACAAAUGGAUCUGGUAACUGUAAUGAUUUCUCAUUAGAAAGUACCCAUACUUUCCUCAGAAGAAAAAACAAAGCGGUAUCUUCCAGGAUGAUAUUAAAAAAUAUCACAAAAUUAUAAAUACCAAAGUAUACUGAAGUACAAGUCAAGUUUCACAUUUACUGGAAGUCUAAACAAACUUCUUGAUAAUUAAUCUCCAAAAUGUAUAAAUCUGCUGCAGAUAUGUGCACAUAAAUUAUAAUAAAGAAUGCUGGUAUGCAAUUUGAUUCAAAGUGCUUUUUAGUAAAGUACAUAAUGAUGCAUGCUGAGGAGAUACAGGUAUAUUUAAUUGGAUAUAAUUAAAAUAAUGAUGUGUGUUUAAAAUAAUGAUAUAUUA
rnacentral:lncRNA from 1 species